AGUGAACGCUGGCGGUAUGCCUAACACAUGCAAGUCGAACGGCAGCACAGUAAGAGCUUGCUCUUACGGGUGGCGAGUGGCGGACGGGUGAGGCAUACAUCGGAAUCUACUUUUUCGUGGGGGAUAACGUAGGGAAACUUACGCUAAUACCGCAUACGACCUACGGGUGAAAGCAGGGGAUCUUCGGACCUUGCGCGAUUGAAUGAGCCGAUGUCGGAUUAGCUAGUUGGCGGGGUAAAGGCCCACCAAGGCGACGAUCCGUAGCUGGUCUGAGAGGAUGAUCAGCCACACUGGAACUGAGACACGGUCCAGACUCCUACGGGAGGCAGCAGUGGGGAAUAUUGGACAAUGGGCGCAAGCCUGAUCCAGCCAUACCGCGUGGGUGAAGAAGGCCUUCGGGUUGUAAAGCCCUUUUGUUGGGAAAGAAAAGCAGCAGGUUAAUACCCCGCUGUUCUGACGGUACCCAAAGAAUAAGCACCGGCUAACUUCGUG
rnacentral:rRNA from 1 species